UAACGACGGGUAACGGGGAAUCAGGGUUCGAUUCCGGAGAGGGAGCCCGAGAAACGGCUACCACUUCCAAGGAAGGCAGCAGGCGCGCAACUUACCCUAAUCUCGAUUCGAGGAGGUAGUGACAAGAAAUACCGAUGCGGGACCCUACGGGUGCCGCGUUCGGAAUGAGUACGAUUCGAACCACCUAACGAGGAACGAUCGGAGGGCAAGUCUGGUGCCAGCAGCCGCGGUAAUUCCAGCUCCAAUAGCGUACGUUAAAGUUGCUGCAGUUAAAAAGCUCGUAGUUGAACGUUCGGGUUCCGCGGGACGGGGCCGCCCCGCGAGGGACGGCGCCGCCCCGGGCUCGUGAUAUCUCAUCUCGCCGCCCGUCGCGAGGCGGACGGAGGGAUGGAUGAGGUUACCUGGAAAAAAUCGGGCGAUCUAGCGGGCGAACCGUCGCCAACGAACGAUCGGACA
rnacentral:rRNA from 1 species